CAGGGUGCUAAGUGGCUCAGUUCUACUGUACAAACAUCAUCUUCUCAUCUUCCAAACACAUCAGUGCUCUCCACUGCUGGAAAAAUGAAAAACCUGAUCUUGGUCUCUCUGAUCCUCCAGCUGGUGAUCACAGUAAAUGUGAUCAAUGGGUACAAGUUCGGAGACAUCAUUGCGUUUCCGAGAGGGUGCGAAAAAAAGCCCUUUCUCACGCACUAUGCCAUCUAUGUGGGUCCAAAAAGUGGCAUAGAUGUUGGUCAAGAGGGUGAUCAGGACAUAUUU